rnacentral:misc_RNA from 1 species
UUCAGAUGGUAGAACGUAGGAAAAACACUAAAAACUGUAAAAUUUCAUUAAAAAUCCAUUAAAUAUUCUUGCAGGACUAUCGAGAACAUGAACUCAUACAUUUCAUAUGAAACGUCCGAGUUCAUUGAAGAGUUAUCCAGGUUGACGUCUACAAAUCAGACAAAUUUCAUCAAAGACAUAUCCAAGCCUAGAAAACGUUCGAGAUCACCUGCUGUAUCGAGAAAUGCAGCUAGAGAAAGGACUAGAGUCAAAAGUUUAAGGAAUGCAUUUCUAAAUUUGCAAAGGACCUUACCGUACGUUCCACCCAAUACAAAAUUAUCGAAAUUGGAUGUUCUGAUACUUGCAACCACUUAUAUUUCUCAUCUGAUGAAACUUUUAAAUCAGGAUACUGUAAAUUCGGAAGCCGAAUGCCCACUUUUAUCAUCCUGUUCCAUCGAGCUGAAGAGCCCUGUUUGGGAAUCCAGUUAUCUUCAUCCCGUCAAGAAAUGGCCUAUGAGAUCUAGACUUUACGCGGGUGUUCAAGAGGAUUCGACAAAUUUAUGCUUGGGUCUUGGUCUGUAUCAAGAGCCAACUAAUAAUGUCAAUAAACGACAAUUAUCGUACUGAGAUGAUUGGUGAUAAAUCGUUGCUGGUCAGCGAAUGAUGAUGAUGAUGAUGAUGAUGAUGAUGUUGAUAUUUACAAAAAUACAGCAAUAAUUUCCAAUUAAUACUCUUAAAUAAUUGAUUUUUAAUGACUAUUUUUGCAUUAUAUUCAUGUUCGAGAUGGAUUUUUCUGUUACGACAAGCUUCUAUGUACGAAUAUAAAUUCUUUUACUUUUGUAAAUAAAUUUAUAUAUUUUUAAAUGUAUCCCUUGUGUUUUUUGGGAAUAAAUUUCAUUAAAAUCACGUAA